GACGAACCGUGCGAACGUUGUUCGGAAUCACUGGGCUUAAAGGGCGCGUAGGCGGCUAGUCAAGUCAGGGGUGAAAUCGUUCGGCUCAACCGGACAAGUGCCUUUGAUACUGGCAAGCUUGAGGGAGGUAGGGGCAUGUGGAACUUCCGGUGGAGCGGUGAAAUGCGUUGAUAUCGGAAGGAACGCCGGUGGCGAAAGCGACGUGCUGGCCCUCUUCUGACGCUGAGGCGCGAAAGCUAGGGGAGCGAACGGG
rnacentral:rRNA from 1 species